GUGCCAGCCGCGGCGGUAAUACGUAGGUGGCAAGCGUUGUCCGGAAUUAUUGGGCGUAAAGCGCUCGCAGGCGGUCUUUUAAGUCUGAUGUGAAAGCCCACGGGCUUAACCGUGGAGGGUCAUUGGAAACUGGAGGACUUGAGUACAGAAGAGGAGAGUGGAAUUCCACGUGUAGCGGUGAAAUGCGUAGAGAUGUGGAGGAACACCAGUGGCGAAGGCGACUCUCUGGUCUGUAACUGACGCUGAGGAGCGAAAGCGUGGGAGCGAAC
rnacentral:rRNA from 1 species